ensembl:lncRNA
UUUGUAUGGUUAUUCUUGAUUUGAAGUGUUUCAUGUUUUUAUAGUGCAGGUGAGUGAGAGAAAUGAUGAUGAUGGGGUGGAUUUUGGAUAAGCUGACUAUAAAUGGUUGUUGACUAUAAAAGACAUCAUCACACUUGAUGUCGCCGUCAUCAGUCAAGGCUUCUUUCACUGCAUGGGUGCGGAUGGAAGACCAGCAGCUGGUUAAUGACUAGUUGUGAGUUGUUUACUCUUUCACGCUGUAACUCUCUCUGUAGACCCGUACCCUUAUAUUACCUGGUGGGUGUUGUUUUCCUGUGUCUGACACAGUGGGUAAUUCGAUCAUUUCGGCACCCUGAAAGCCAAAAACUGCUGCUUUCCAGCUGGGAGCCAAUAAUAACUGCAAUGGUGAUCAGCAGGACUGAUUCUGGACCAUACCAUUGCAAAUCCAAAGCUUGAAGGAGUUGUUCUCUACAGUCCUGUUAUAAAUGGAGGCUCAGACUGAACUGAUACUAUGUUCCAAUCAGUUAACUGUGUUUCUUCUGCUGGGCAUCGCUGAUGUGGUGGUUACUGCUUGUGGAAGUGCAGCAGAGAUCCUGAUAGCUUCUGCAUCACGUAUCUGACGGCUCUGGGGGAUCUUUUUGGCACUGGCUUUCUGACGUUGUGUUUUCUUCUUAUGUCACUGGUGACAUAAACAUUAAAAUGAUGAUUACAUUUUACAUCCAAUGCAUUAGAUCUGAUCUGUCACCGAUGUCUAAUGUGCUAGUUUACAUGUUUGCCAUUUCUCUCCACUGCUCAGCCAGAUGAAUGUGACAUUUCACGUAACUGUAGUCACACAACUAUCUUUGAAUGAAGAACUGCUGCUGUCUGUUUCUGUAUAUUGUUAUGUUAAAUGUCUGAUUUGCACUCAUCUUCCUGGAUCAGUAUCCUUUCUAGCAUUUUCUAACUGGUUCUAAUGAAAAUAUGAUAAUAUAUGUUUUUAUGGUUCAGCAAGGUUAAUUCAGUGAGACACUGAGAUGUGACAAGUUAUUACAAAUUACAAAUUAAGCAGCCUUAUACAAUUUACCAAUGCAUGUGGAUUUUAUUUUUUUUAUUGAUUAAUUAUUAAUCUUCAGGCUGUAUUAAGGAGAGUAAACACAAUGUCUGACACAUAUUGAUAGGAUAUUAUUUUAUUUUAUUUAUCACCUGCAGUAGUUUAUUACUUUAUUAUCUUUUACUGUAAAAAAACAACAACUCUCAAUUCAUUCACGUAUACUUCAAAAAUGUAUCAAUGGUAAUGUACGAGAAAAACUGAUUGAGGUUUGUGAAGAUUUGUACAAAUGAUUUGCACAGGAAUCUUCUGAAAGAUCCCCUGUCCUUUACAGCUAGUUAACAAUAUUUAGUAUCCACAGUUGAAUAAAUUCCUUAUUACAAAUAAUUUGUCUUUUUGAUACCUUUGCUUUUAUCAUUGAGAUAUGCAUGCUAUUAUAAAAGGACAACAUUAGAUUUUUUUUUUUUUUACUAGUUUUUCAUUUUUC